AAGGUGGCGGCGGCGAUCAAGACACCUGGAUUGGAAUCAAUGAUAACAUUGAGAAUGGGCGAUUCAUAUGGACUGACGGCACACUCAACGACUUUGGUGUCGGAGCUCCUCAAAACCUUGGCGAUUGUGUAGAGAUUGAUGCAGUUACCAAACUCUGGGACGACGUGGACUGCACUGUACCCAAACCAUAUGUUUGUAUCAGAGAUGCAAAGUAUGGAAGUGGCAACCAUGGUCGAUUCAUAAUCUAGUCUAGGAAGGUUUGUCUUGGAAUUUGAGUCCAUAAUUAAAAGGGGCACAUUCAAAUACUUUUGCUAUAGUGUCUAUUAUGGGGUACCCUCAAAAAUCAUACUACAGAUCAACUCUAUCAAGUCAAAAUCAGAGUUUGGGUGGAACGCUAAUUAAUUAUGAUUCAUUAUGACGGCAGCAAUUGAAGAAGGAACACACAUCAAAACACUUGACGAGU